rnacentral:rRNA from 1 species
GAUGAACGCUGGCGGCGUGCCUAAUCCAUGCAAGUCGAGCGAACGGACGAGAAGCUUGCUUCUCUGAUGUUAGCGGCGGACGGGUGAGUAACACGUGGAUAACCUACCUAUAAGACUGGGAUAACUUCGGGAAACCGGAGCUAAUACCGGAUAAUAUUUUGAACCGCAUGGUUCAAAAGUUAAAGACGGUCUUUCUGUCACUUAUAGAUGGAUCCGCGCUGCAUUAGCUAGUUGGUAAGGUAACGGCUUACCAAGGCAACGAUGCAUAGCCGACCUGAGAGGGUGAUCGGCCACACUGGAACUGAGACACGGUCCAGACUCCUACGGGAGGCAGCAGUAGGGAAUCUUCCGCAAUGGGCGAAAGCCUGACGGAGCAACGCCGCGUGAGUGAUGAAGGUCUUCGGAUCGUAAAACUCUGUUAUUAGGGAAGAACAGAUGUGUAAGUAACUGUGCACAUCGUGACGGUACCUAAUCAGAAAGCCACGGCUAACUACGUG